rnacentral:rRNA from 1 species
UACGAAGGGGGCUAGCGUUGUUCGGAAUUACUGGGCGUAAAGCGCGCGCAGGCGGUUUUCCAAGUCAGUGGUGAAAGCCCGGAGCUCAACUCCGGAACUGCCAUUGAAACUGGCGAACUUGAGUACGAGAGAGGUGAGUGGAAUUCCCAGUGUAGAGGUGAAAUUCGUAGAUAUUGGGAAGAACACCGGUGGCGAAGGCGGCUCACUGGCUCGUAACUGACGCUCAGGCGCGACAGCGUGGGGAGCAAACAGG